rnacentral:rRNA from 1 species
AGGACGAACGCUGGCGGCGUGCUUAACACAUGCAAGUCGGACGAGACCCUUCCUUCGGGGGGUGUUCUAGUGGCGAACGGGUGAGUAACACGUGGGCAACCUGCCCCCGGCUCUGGGAUAACUCCAAGAAAUUGGGGCUAAUACCGGAUAUGACUGCUGACCGCAUGGUCUGGUGGUGGAAAGAUUUAUCGGCUGGGGAUGGGCCCGCGGCCUAUCAGCUUGUUGGUGGGGUAGUGGCCUACCAAGGCGACGACGGGUAGCCGGCCUGAGAGGGUGACCGGCCACACUGGGACUGAGACACGGCCCAGACUCCUACGGGAGGCAGCAGUGGGGAAUAUUGCGCAAUGGGCGAAAGCCUGACGCAGCGACGCCGCGUGGGGGAUGAAGGCCUUCGGGUUGUAAACCCCGUUUCAGGAGGGAAGAUGGCGCGAGCAAUCGCGCGGACGGUACCUCCAGAGCAGCCACGGCUAACUCUGUGCCAGCAGCCGC